UACGUAGGUCGCAAGCGUUGUCCGGAUUUACUGGGCGUAAAGAGCGCGCAGGCGGCUGGUCAAGUCCGAUGUGAAAUCUCCCGGCUCAACUGGGAAACUGCAUCGGAAACUGAUCGGCUUGAAGGUGGGAGAGGGUAGUGGAAUUCCCGGUGUAGUGGUGAAAUGCGUAGAGUAUCGGAGGGAAGACACCAGUGGCGAAGGCGACUACCUGGCCCAUUCUUGACGCUGAGGCGCGAAAGCUAGGGGAGCGAACGGG
rnacentral:rRNA from 1 species